GUCUACGGCCAUGCCACCCUGAACGCGCCCGAUCUCGUCUGAUCUCGGAAGCUAAGCAGGGUCGGGCCUGGUCAGUACUUGGAUGGGAGACCGCCUGGGAAUACCGGGUGCUGUAGGCU
rnacentral:rRNA from 1 species